rnacentral:lncRNA from 1 species
ACAGGUGCUUGGGAGAUCGGUGUAAUUGCUGUCGGCGGAGAGAAGGCGAGAUCACGAUGAGCAACCACAAGGUUUCAGGGCAGUUUGCAAAAAGGUUAGAGCACGCACACACGAACGAUCCAAGGAAACAAUCUAUCGUCUACUGCACUAUUUCUAUCUCUGUACAAUUUCGUAGUGUUUUGUCGAUCUCUGAUCAUGUUGUCCUCCUUGUUCUUUUUCUUCUUCUUCUUCUUCUUCUUCUUCUUCUUCUUCUUCUUCUUCUUCUUCUUCUAUUUUCUUUUCUUGUCUCUCCUGAACCUUAAUCUGUGGCCUGUGUAACCUUCUCGAUCUUGAUUUUCAAUAUGGCUUUAAAUAAUUAUCCCUCAAUUUGUCCGAGCAUAUGCAUGGGUCUACUCAUCUUGGUCUUGCUGGUAUGUUGUUUAUGUGGACGACAGAUUCGAUUCCAGCCGAUAAGGAGGAAAAUUUAGUGCUGUUAGUGUUCGUGUGGGCUUAAUUAAGCUGUCAAUUCCUACUUUAUUAGAUAGAUCGAUGUGUUGUAGAUGCUUUUGGGUAAUUAUUUUUGUGCCAUACAAAGGUGUUAGAUGCCCUAUGUGUACUCUAACGAAGUGAUGUGUGUAUAUUAUACUAGUCUUCACGACAGUUCAGCUUUGAGCUAACAUAAUCAUGCAUAUCUCGUCACUUAGUUCUUUUCUGGUUGUGAGUUUAUGUUGGAGUUGUCAAAUUGGGAAUUGCAUCACAAUUCAGUUGUUACAGUGCUUUGCUCUCACACGUGUGCAUGCUUGCCGUUGUUUAAAGAUCACAAAGGUACUAUAUACUACUACUAACUGCAUCCUCACAGAAACAGGCUAUAGCUAUAUAGCUCAUGGGGAACCCUCAGCUGUCUGUCUAUGUUUCUUACUACCACUUACGUUUCCCCCAAUGUUCUUCGCUCCUUGUCCUAUUGAGUACUGUAAAGAACAGAACCAUAGUUUUCAGAAGCUAUUGGAACUUGCGCAUUUAGAGACCUAAGGUUUCCACUGCUGACAUGUGUUAUGUUCGUUAUUGCCUCUCUGUCUUCCAUCACUGUUCAUAUGGUGGCUUAACUCUCCCUUGAACAAGUUGCUAAUAAUUUUAUAUGUAGAAUUGGGUAGAUGGUAAGCAUACUCCUUUCUUGAAGAACAUGCAUGCAUUUCAGGGUGCCAAUCUGAGUAUAACAUGCAGGAACGCCUCUCAUGUGUUGAGAUAUAUUAAUUCCUUGUAUCAUUCUGUAGAGUCCUUAAAUAUGCAUCUGUGUAUGUUUCAUUUCUGUUGAAUAUAUAGUUCGGAUCCAAAUCCUAUUUGGUUGCCGUGAAGCCCAACUUAGAGUUAAAAUAUAAUCAGUUAAAUAACUUCACUGAAUAGUUGCCAGUCAAAUCAUUCCAUAUAUAUUUCGAUUGCCUACUACAUUGUCUAAUUCAGUCUUACUGUAUUAUUCUCUGUAUUAGACCUGCACUCCUGCAGUCAUGUCCAUGUGUAUUUUGAAGCAAGGAGGAAACAUACAAUGCUAACCAUCAUUUUAUUUUGAUAUAUUUCAAUUAAUACAAUCUGCAAACUUCAGUAUAUUUUGUCUUAGUUUGGUCGUCUGAUUGAGAAGCCAUCCACAUUUGUGCAUGUUGGUGCAAUUCAUAGGUAAUUCCAGUUUUAAACUUGCAUUGUUCCAAUAGUGUACCACAUACAUAUCUGGAUGAAUGAAUUCCAACCCAACUCACAUAAUUGUUUCACUGUGAAAAAAUUUAAGCAUGUUAAUUUAGUUCUCCUUUUACACGUAGAACAAGAUCUAUGCACCAAUAUUCUAGUUUGAACAAGAUUUAAUGUUAGAUUUGAGGCUUGCAGAUUUACCCAGCCUACCCGUUAGUUGAUUAGGCAUGAAUUGACAACUUGUCAUCCAUUUGUUGACGUGUAUAUAUGGCGUUUAUCAUGCAUAGUAUACUUUUUUUUACAAGGCGUCAGUCAUACAACCUUAUUAACAACUAUCUCAUUUGAUUUUGCAUUUCAACCUCUCUUCAGUUUAAACAGCUUCAAAACACUGGCCCCUCAAUCUUUAGAAAUGGGAAGGAUACUUUAAAUCUAGUCCAAAUUAGAAUAAUGGUGCGUAAAUGUGGUUAUGCGUUCAAAUAUUCACAUUAUAACAAAUUAAAUAUGUUGUUCAAAUUGGAAUUUACUGAUCGGGGAACAAUAUAUUGAUCAAUUUAUUCUCAAAAAAUAUAUUGAUCAAUUACUGAAGGAUUAAUGCAUGCUAGAUACACCAAAACUAUGAGUUCAAAUGAUAGAUCCAUAGCUGUAUGUUCCCCGGCUUAGUAUAUAUGCAUGGAGCAAUGCAGAUAGAGUUGUGUGAAAUAUUGGAAAAAUACCAUUCCCAUCAUAACAAGUGUGAAAUUUGCCGAUGAGUCUGUCCAUGCAUCACUCUCCUGGGCGCCGACCUAGGGACGACCAAAUUUCUCCUCUGCAGGAGCCACCGCGGUCUUUUCUGCUCACCUCUCUGACAUUGCAUGUUGGGACUUGGGACAACCUCCGAUUCACUCUCCGUGUGAUGAUGGGGCUUCUCCUUCCUUGCCUUGGUUUGGACCGCCAAUUAUCUUCCUUCCAUAUCCAUGAAGAUAGGUGUAUUGUGCGACGAUGGCAUCGGGAAGAGUGCCUGCACUAGUACAGAUUGAGGCUAUGCACACGGUUCGGGCCCCCAAUUGCACACAGUUUCUGGAACCGUGUGCUCGCGUGGGCUGGUGUUGGUGGGUGUGGGGAAUCAUCGCUGACCAAUGAGAAAUUGCAGGUGAUGGCGAAACCGUCCCACGGAGUUGCAUUUUCACAAAUCAUGUGUGAUAAGGAGUAGAAUCACCCACAAUUAAUUUAAUGGGAACAUGUUUGAUAGUACAUUAUUUAUGACGGGUGGUGGACAGAUAAUUGUGUGGAACCUUUUGUUUAUCGCAUAUGAUAUCUUUCUUGUAGAAUGUGUGCAUUAAACUAUCCAUCGCAAACGCUUCAUUUUCUUCAAUUGUUUGUAUUGUAGAUAUCCAUUGCAUACGUUUUGUUUUAUUGAACCGUGUCCAAUGCACAAUGAUCAGCACAAUAGUUUUUUUUACUAUAAUUUAAUAAAUGCAAUUCAUAUCAAAUUGGUCAGAAUAAGAAUUGGAGCAUAGACAGACAACAAAAUUUGCAACAAUCAACGUAACAAAUAUAUGUUCAACCUCAAUUGCAUAACUGACUGACGUCACAAAGUAGCACCAUACAUAUAGCAUGGUUGAUCAUGUAAGUGUACCAAUACAAGUAUGAAAGCAUAUUUGACAUCUAAAGCUAUCAUCGUCAUAGAGGGUGUAACAUUCCAGGUGAAGGACAGUCGGUCUUUGACGUUCUUGAGGAAGAGGAAUGACUAUGUUGCUCCCUCCUCCAUGCAUACGUAAUGAACAUAUUUGGUCCAGUUCUUAUGUAUCAAUGAAGAGUCGAAGAGUGGGUUAACACUCCUGGUAUAUGGACCUACAUACAUGAAGCUAAUGUUAUUAGGAAAUUUUAUGCAAUUGCGCAAUAUGUACUAUAUAAAGGACAAAGCAAAUCAUACUCGUAAAUCACAGUGACUUCCAUUGUGAACAUGUUGUUACAUAAAGUAGAUAUAAUUAGUUGAAAUGAGAAUUAGGACAUGUACGUGAAUGUACCGCCGGAGUUCCCGGUCCAUUAUAAACCUGUGCUAACAUCAAUGGAUCUAAAUUGGUUAGGCAACACAUUUUAAUAUUUUUAUGUGUUGUUAAUGCCUGACAUUUUCUUGCACACGUAGGUCCUACAAAAAAACUUGUCUCUCAAUUCAAUAUUCCAUCAUACGAAAAGUUGGGUGCAAUUGCAUAAUGAUGUACUAUAACGCAAAGGAGACAUUUCAUGCUUUCAUCAGCGGUCAAUAGGCAAGUCCAACACCAAUCCAUAAAUGUACUAUAGACCCGAAACCUUUUCAAACAUGUUAUAUCUUUUCGGAAUUUUCGAAACGCUUUCAGGACAAUCAGAACACUUCUAGAUCCAUCCGAGACUCUUUUGGUGCUCACUCUCUCAAACUUUAGUUCUCAUCAUAAUUACUACCCGUUAAGCGUGUGACCCUUUAGGUUCGGAAUAAGCGAACAUGGCCUGAAACACUUUCCGGUCAAUAGUUAACCGCGGGAUCUAGACACCUUUAAUAACUCCCGGAUAUUCACGAAGUACUUGAGUGAACCUUUUGUUUACAAAUAUCGUCCCCUUUGCUUCGUGAUACGUUACAAAACCCGAGGUGAGAUUGACGGUACAUAGAACCGUCGGUACCCUCAGUAGGGUGACGAACGUAGCCGAAAGUACCGAAACGGAGGUCAAAUGAGGAAGUUGCCCAAGUUAGGGCUUCCAUGGAUGAGUAACACCCUACGUCUUGCGUCUGGUUUGUAUUCAUGGUGGAGUACCUCAUGCGAAGGUUGCAAUGGGGGAUGAUUUAUGACUACCAAGAGUACGUUUCUACCAGAGUAGAUGGAAAUGGCCCGCCCCGGCCAGCCCCCACCUUGUAUAGGUGAUGGGGAAUAGGGUUUGACAUAUGAUAGAUGCAAUCUGGCUGCCGCCAUCUUGACUUGUACGCCAAGAUGAUCCCUUGAUGCGUAUCUGGGCUCCGGGGCUCCCUCCUGCAGUUGGACCCUCGCCAAGCUUCAUGGGAUCCACACUAAGAUGCCACCCCGGUGUAUUACACCGUCCGUAGCCCUCGAGCGUGCCACCUAUGAGAACCCAAGUAGGCUCCCUAUGUCUCUGUGGCCUGGUUUCAUGAGUUCGGCUUAGCAAGGUCUUCGGGCUUGCCCAUCAUGCGGCUUCUUGGGGGGCCACUUUAUAGAUUUAGAGUGACUAGCAGCGGCUUCAAGGAUUAGGGCCUCCUGCCGUGCUUUGUGUUGAGCCGAGGCCUCGGGGUCCGAGGCUAUUUGUGAGGCUUGCUUGUUCUUGCCUGCCUCCAAGCGUGACAGCUCAGGGGUUUGGUGAAGCUGCGGGCUUCGCGAACUGAAGCCUGACGUCCGGCUCUCCUCAUCUCAGAGCAUCACCAGCUCACCCGAUCUUGUCUAGUCAUAACGGGCAGGAGGACCAUCAUGGCACUAUACGUCUCCAUCGUAUCUACUUUGCCAAACUCUUUUGCCCUUGUUUUGGACUCUAAUUUGCACGGUUUGAAUGGAACUAACCUGCACCGGCAUUGUUUUCAGCAGAAUUGCCAUGAUGUUAUUUUUGUGCAGAAAUCAAAGUUCUUGGAUUGACCUGAAAAUUUACAGAGAAUUUUCGUGGAAUAUAUAAAAAAAUACUGGCGGAAAAAGAUACCAAAGGGGGGACACCCAGGAGCCACAAGCCCUGGGGGCGCACCUACCCUUCCUCCCCCCAGGGCGCGCCCUACAGGCUUGUGGACCUCCUGGAACUCCCGCAACCCUAAGUCCUACUCCAUAUAUACCUAUUCACGGAGAGAGAAAAUCAGAUAGAAGGAUUCAUUGCAUUUUACGAUACGGUGCCGCAGGCCGCCUCCUGUUCUUCAUCGGGAGGGCUGGUCUGGAGUCCGCUCGGGGCUCCGGAGAGGGGGGAUUCGUCGUCGUCGUCAUCAUCAACCUUCCUCCAUCACCAAUUUCAUGAUGCUCACCGCCAGGAGUGAUUAAUUCCUUCAUAGGCUUGCUAGACCGUGAUGGGUUGGAUGAGAUUUAUCAUGUAAUCGAGUUAGUUUUGUUAAGGCUUGAUCCAUAGUAUCCACUAUGUUCUGAGAUUGAUGAUGCUAUGAAUUUGCUAUGCUUAAUGCUUGUCACUAGGGCCCGAGUGCCAUGAUUUUAGAUCUGAACCUAUUAUGUUUUCAUGAAUAUAUAUGUGUUCUUGAUCCUAUCUUGCAAGUUGUAGACACCGAUUACAAGUUAUGAUCUGCAUGCACCCAAGGUGACAAUAAUUGGGAUUCUUUUCGGUGAUUACGGUAGUUUGAGGAGUUCAUGUAUUCACUAAGUGCUAAUGCUUUAUUCCUAUUCUCUAUUAAAAGGAGGCCUUAAUAUCCCUUAGUUUUCUUAUGGACCCCACUGCCACGGGAGGGUAGGACAAAAGAUGUCAUGCAAGUUCUUUUCCUUCAACAUGUAUGACUAUAUAUGGAAUACAAGCCUACGUUACAUUGAUGAAUUGGAGCUAGUUCUGUGUCACCCUAGGUUAUGACUGCUACAUGAUGAAUAUUAUCCAACACAAUUAUCCAUCAUUGAUCCAAUGCCUACGAGCUUUUCACAUAUUGAUCUUUGCUAAGUUACUUUUGCUGUUGCUAUUGUUACAAUCACUACAAAACUGCUACUGCUACAAUUGCCACUGUUACCGUUACUAUCAUACUACCUUGCUACUAAAUAUUUUGCUGCAAAUAUUAAGUCUUUUAGGUGUGGUUGAAUUGACAACUCAACCACUAAUACUCGUGAAUAUUCAUUGGCUCCCCUUGUGUCGAAUCAAUAAAUUUGGGUUGCAUACUCUACCCUCAAAAACUGUUGAUCCCCUAUACUUGUGGGUUAUCAAGACCUAUUUCUCACGCCGUUGCCGGGGAGCAUAGCUCUAUUUGCUGAGUAACUUGGGAUUUAUAUCUGUUGAACACUAUGAAGAAUUUGAAAGAUACUAGAACUAAGAUCGUUCCCUCUAGGACGAGGGGAGGUAAGGAACUGCCAUCUAGCUCUGCACUUGAUUCACCUUUUGUUUUGAGUAAGCUUGCGACACCUACACAUGCUAUUAAUUCUGAUAUGUCGCACGAUGAUGCUACUUCUUCUAUGAAUGAUGCUUAUGAUGAUACUACUACUUUGCUUGAUAAGACUGUGCCACUAGGUGAAUUUCUCGAUGAACAACUUGCUAGGAUUAAUGCUGAAACUGAUGAUAUUUCUGAAACUGAUGAAAUUAUUGAAACUGGACACUUUGAAACACCUAUUAGACCUAGCACUCCUAGAUAUGAAUUGCCUGAUAUACCUAAGGUUUAUGUUAUGGAUGGAGAGGUAGCUGAGGAUUUUCUUGCUUGUAAGGAUAGAGAUGACCUUAAGAAAUUACUAGUCAAGUUGAAAGAAAAAUCUUUGAAUGCUAGAAUGAAAUAUGAUCCCUAGUUUGCUACUUCACCUGUCUUUGUUACUGAUAAGGAUUAUGAAUUCGCUGUCGAUCCUGAGUUAAUCACUUUUAUUGAAUCUAAGGUUAUGAAUCUGAAACUGUUGCGGCACAUUGAUACGUCUCCAACGUAUCUAUAAUUUUUUAUUGUUCCAUGUUGUUAUAUUAUCAUUCUUGGAUGUUUUACAAUCAUUUUAUAGAAACUUUAUAUCAUUUUUUGGGACUAACCUAUUGACAUAGUGCCCAGUGCUAGUUGCUGUUUUUGCUUGUUUUUUACUUCGCAGAAAAUCAAUACCAAACGGAGUCCAAACGCAGCGAAAGUUUUGGAGAUUUUUUCUGGACCAAAAGACACCUGUUGGGCCAAAGAAGUACCAGAGGGGGGCUCCGAGGGGAUCACAACCCAUCAGGACGCGCUUGGGGGCCCAGGCGCGCCCAAGUGGGUCGUGCCCACCUCGGUGGCCUCCUGCACCGCCUCUUUGCUCUAUAAAUACCUCAAUACUCCAGAAACCCUAGGGGAGUCGACGAAAAACAAUUCCAGCCGCCGCAAGUUCCAGAACCACCAGAUCCAAUCUAGACACCAUCACGGAGGGGUUCAUCAUCCUCAUUGGUGCCUCUCCGAUGAUGCGUGAGUAGUUCAUUGUAGACCUACGGGUCCGUAGUUAGUUGCUAGAUGGCUUUCUCUCUCUUUUGAUUCUCAAUACAAUGGUCUCUUGGAGAUCUAUUUGAUGUAACUCUUUUUGCGGUGUGUUUGUUGGGAUCUGAUGAACUUUGAGUUUAUGAUCAGAUCUAUGUUUUUAUCCAUGAAAGUUAUUUGAGUUUCUUUGAUCUCUUAUAUGCAUGAUUACUUAUAGCCUCGUAUUUCUUCUUCGAAUCUUUGGUUUAGUUAGGCCAACUAGAUCGAUUUUUCUUGCCAUGGGAAGAGGUGCUUUGUGAUGGGUUUGUUCUUACGGUGCUUGAUCCCAGUGACAGAAGGGGAACCGACAUGUAUGUAUCGUUGCUAUUAAGGAUAACAAGAUGGGGUCUAUUUCUACAUAAAUAGAUCUUGUCUACAUCAUGUUAUCAUUCUUAUUGCAUUACUCCGUUUCUCCAUGAACUUAAUACACUAGAUGCAUGCUAGAUAGAGGUCGAUGUGUGGAGUAAUAGUAGUAGAUGCAGGCAGGAGUCGGUCUACUAAUCUUGGACAUGAUGCCUAUAUAGUGAUCAUUGCUUGGAUAUCAUCAUGAUUAUUUGAAGUUCUAUCAAUUGCCUAACAGUAAUUUGUUUGCCCACCGUAUGCUAUUUUUCUCGAGAGAACACUACAAGGGAAAAGCCUAGCAGUAGCGCGGGUCUGAGGGCUAUCAGUAGCGCGAGGCACCGUGCUACUGAGACGGCGUUACAGCUAACACUUAGCAGUAGCGCGUUCCUACCCGCGCUAAUGUUAUUUCUACUUAGCAGUAGCGCUUCCCAUACAAGCGCUACUGCUAAUCUAACUAGUAGUAGCGUGCUUCCUGUCUAGCGCUACUAGUAUUUUGUCUGUCAUAUUUUUUUAUUGUAUUUAUACAUCGUUAUACAAAUUUUGAUACAGUACCAAUUAAGAGGUUGUUAUAUCAUUAUGUCCAUGAUGAAUUAAUAUAUCAUUGUGAGGAAUAAACAUGGAUUAGAUUCAUUUGGAUGAAUCAAAAGUUGAAUUAGGACGAUGAUUCUACUAAUUCAACUUUUGGUCACUUUUGGUCCAUCCACAUGAAUCUAAUCUGCGUUCCAUCCACCAAUGAUAUAAUAACUAAUCAUGAUCAUAAUAAGAAAUCAUCAUGAUAAUCAUGAUCAACAUCAUCAUCCUAUUAAUAUAAAAACUCUUCCAUCAUAUCAUCACCAACAACACUAGCUAAUAAUCAUCAUAAUCAUUACCACCAACACUAUUUAAUCAUCAUAGUCAUAGUGUAGCUAUCGAAUAACCACCCACACUAGCUAAUAAUAAUCAUCAUAGUCAUUACCACCAACACCAGCUAUUUAAUCAUCAUAGUCAUAGUGUAGCACAUCAUCAUCUUCAAACUCAUUCUAGCUAGCUAAUCACUCCUGUUGCUGUCUCCUAAUUGUGGGUUGUGCUUCCGGUUACUGCCCCCUAGUACCUCUCUAUUAUGAUCAUUCACAGUUUUGCUCCAGUCUUUGACUAUUAAGACUUGCUCGCUUCGAGAAAUCAUGAAUGCACUCAUGUGCAAUGUAGAAUGUCUUGGCCGUAAGCUAACCAUUGUCAUGCGACCUUUCGGCUCGAUCCAACGAGGCACAACAUUCAUCAGGAGUCCCUAUUGAAGAACAUCGUAGUAACAUACUUAGUAAUGAAGUUUAGCUUAAAAAAUAAUGUAUGUAAAAGAUGCACUGAGGACAAAUAGUAAAAAUAUUACCAUAUUUCCUAAAUAGAUGUGACCGUAGUUCAAUACGCACACUAGUGGUCGCACGUAUUGAGUACUAAUAUUUCAAAGUCCGGAAAAAUAAUCUGUCUUGAUAGUAUCAAGAUCCUCAAGCCAUGAAACAUAAUGACUUAUCUCCUCGUAUUAGUUCAGCCCCGGGACAGUAGUAGGUGUUGUCUACCAAGCGCCGGACAUGUUUCUUGAAUGGAAAUAGGCUGUCAAUAGAAAUUAGUUGACAACUAUUUUUAAAUAAACAAUAUAAAUUACUUAAUAAAUAUGGUUGAAAACUCACAUAAUGGUAGAACUGGAGGCGUCUGCACAUCGACCCAGAUGUCGAUAUUACCUUCAAUUUCAUCUUCCGGAUGAAUAUCAAAGGUGAUAAGCAUAUUAGGCUCAAAUGCAUAAGCCUUGCAUAGUGCUCUCCAAAUUUUGCAUUCAAAAUAGGAGUAGGUGUCUGCAUUGUAUAAUUUUACGGCAAAAGUAUAACCAUGCUCGGUCCUCAAGUGAACUCUCUUUACCUCCAUACUUUCCAUAGUACUAAAACCAAUCUUAUCCAAGACAUAAAUUCUUGCAUGGCAGGGGAUACACUAGUAGAAUUGUAAAAAAUUAAAAUUACAAGUUGAAGCAAAAGAAGCAGAAGUCAUGCUUAAUUAUGAAAAAAAGACUUGUCGUUGUGACUUACUGUAUCCACUUCAAAGUUCCCAUCCAGCAUGAUGCUAAAGCGCCUACCACCAACUAGGUGAGGCCUGUCGCACAGGCCGCGCUCGUCUUCGCAGUAUUCGCACAUAACGAAUUCCCUUUCGUCGUCAGACAUUUCCUAUGUUCAUAGUUGAAACAUUAAUUGAAAAUCGAUCGAAGGCAACUACCAGGAGACUCAACACACAUAUCAGUAUUACUCAAUAUGCAAUGGGUUUACUUUAGGUCUGUCGAGUCUUCCUUCCUAAACUCUUAUAUCACAUAUAUGGUGGGCACUCCCUCUCUGAUAUUGCGGUCGUCGGUGAUGGUCGCUACUCCUCCUUUCCCUAGUGCAUUACAAAUAUCUAGCACAAGGAAAAGAAGGAGAAGCGACCCCCACGACAACAGUUGGCAUUGUUCUUCUCUCAUAUAUGGUGGACACUCCAUCACCGAUUUUUUCGACCGUUGAUGAUGGUCGCUACUCCUUCUUCCCCUAGUGCAUAACAAAGGUCUAGCACAAAGAGAAGAAGGAGAAGCGACCCCCACGACAACAGUCGGCAUUCUUCUUCUCUCAUAUAUGGUGGAGACUCUCCCUCACAGAUUUUUUGACUGUCAUGUAUGGAGCCCCGAGAGACUUAAAGUCAACUCGAAAUGUUGUUUAAUUCUGUUUCUAGCAAAUCCGGGCACUCGAUAUUUCCUACAUAUUCUAGCACAAGUCGUGCUUAAAUUCACAGAAAAAACCAGCAUGACCUUUGCUAAAAUAGGACAUAUCGAGCGCCUGAAAUUUGCCGGAACGGAAAUGAAUCAACACUCCGGCAAAACAUAGGCCACUCGGAUUUUCCUUGCGAUACAAAGAUGUCCAUACACAUACAACGAUGCUUAAACUGGUGCUCAUUGCAUUUCAAUAGUUCAAUAUUGACAAAAACAUUUCAAUAUAUCUUAUAACCCGAACAUUUCAUUUGUCUAAGAAGCAUAACUAAAUACCCUAGUUCUACUCUAUUCAACACCGAGGAGUAGAGAAGGAGGAGGUGGAAUUUUAGCUCAACGACUCGGGUGUAGCGGAAGUAGAGGUAGCUCGGAUGACGAUCUCUCUAAGGAGACACGACUGUACAAAGCCUGCAUAUUCCGCCGAGUAAAAUUUUAGAUCACCAAUACAUUUCUAUAUUGAAAAAAAAAUUAUACCUAAAUUUUCUUACUAAACUUGACACCUAAAAAUUUCUCAUAUAGCAUUCCAAUAGAUUUCUAAACUUUUUUAUUAAUAAACUUUUUUAUACACUAGUCUAUUAAGCACUUACUAUAAAUAAACAUUUUUAUAUUCAAUACCUAAAUUUUUUAGCAUUCCAAUACCUAAUUUUUUUAUACACUAGUCUAUUAAGCACUUACUAUUAUAGCAUUCCAAUACCUAUUUUUUUUAUUUCUAAACUUUUUUAUAUUCAAGAAACCUAUUAACUAGUCUAUUAAGCACUUAAUAUAAAUAAACUAGUUCUAUUAAGCACUUACUAUAAAUAAACUAGUUCUAUUAACCACUUCCUAAAUAAACUAUUUCUAUUAAACACUUACUNNNNNNNNNNNNNNNNNNNNNNNNNNNNNNNNNNNNNNNNNNNNNNNNNNNNNNNNNNNNNNNNNNNNNNNNNNNNNNNNNNNNNNNNNNNNNNNNNNNNNNNNNNNNNNNNNNNNNNNNNNNNNNNNNNNNNNNNNNNNNNNNNNNNNNNNNNNNNNNNNNNNNNNNNNNNNNNNNNNNNNNNNNNNNNNNNNNNNNNNNNNNNNNNNNNNNNNNNNNNNNNNNNNNNNNNNNNNNNNNNNNNNNNNNNNNNNNNNNNNNNNNNNNNNNNNNNNNNNNNNNNNNNNNNNNNNNNNNNNNNNNNNNNNNNNNNNNNNNNNNNNNNNNNNNNAGGGCUGCCGGUGGAGGGUUUGGCCGGAGGAGGAGGGAGGAGGGGCGGCCGGAGGAGGAGGAAGGAGGGCGCGGUAGGGAGGGAGGGACGAGGAGGGGAGGGAGGUGGAAGGAGGAGGGAUGGACGAACUACCUCAGUGGAGGAGCAGUAGCGUCGGCGGCGGCGGGCGACGAUGGUGGUCGGGGAACGGCGGCGGCGGCAGACGAUGGGGGUGCAGGGGAGAGUGAGAGUGGAGUGGAGAGGGGAGAGUGAGGGGCAGCUGGUUGGAGAAGAUAGGAUGGCUUUAGCAGUAGCGCGUGUUAGGAUAAAACGCUACUGCUAACGACAUAGCGCUACAGCUAUACGUAGUCUGGCGGCAAGGUCGUGGCAAUUGUAGUAGUAGCGAUGUUUCCUCCAGACGCGCUACUGCUAUGUGGAUAUCAGUAGCGCGGUUUGUGGUAGCGCGCUACUCCUAAGUAGCAGUAGCACCUUUUUUUAAACCGCGCUGCUGGUAAUAUUCUGUCUAUAAGGUUUUCCCUAGUAGUGGAAGCCACUAGUGAAAUCUACGGCCCCCGGGUCUCUUCUUUAUCAUAUUUGCCUUCGAGAUAUGUUUUUAUUCGAUUUUAUUUUCAGAUCUAUUAAUCCAAAAAACCAAAAAUACCUUGCUGCACUUUAUUUUAUUUUAUGUUUAUUCGAGAUCUAUUUAUCCAAUCUAUCAUAUUUUUCUCCCGUUAACUCGACAAUUUCUGGCACGGUUACCCGAAAGGGAUUGACAACCCCUUUAACACGUCAGGUUGCAAGAAUUUGUUCUUUGUGUGCAGGUACCAUUUACGUAGUGUUGCAUGGUUCUCCUACUGGGUCGAUAACCUUACUCUCAUCACUAAGGGAAAUACCUACCGUCGUUGUGCUGUAUCAUCCCUUCCUCUUUGGGGAAAUACCGACGUAGUUCAAGCCGCAUCACACAUCUUACUAAACUGAAUGAUAUAGCCACCCUAUUUUCUCAUGAGAAUUUUUUAUUACUAUAUUCUUAAGUUGUUUGCUUUCUCGUUAAAGGGUGACACUAAGACAUGGUAUAAUUCUCUUGCUCCUGGUUGUGUGCGUAGUCCCCAGGAUAUGAUAUAUUACUUCUUUGAAAAAUAUUUUGCUGCUCAUAAGAAACAAGUUGCUUUACAGGAAAUAUUUAACUUUGUGCAAAUUGAAGAAGAGAGUCUCCCACAAGCUUGGGGGAGGCUUCUCCAAUUACUUAAUGCUUUGCCUGAUCAUCCUCUGAAGAAAAAUGAAAUACUUGAUAUCUUUUAUAAUGGACUAACUGAUGCUUCUAGGGACCACCUAGAUAGUUGUGUUGGUUGUGUUUCAAGGAACGACCUGUUGGGUUCAGAAACCCAUGCCCUUUCCUCAUAAAGCUUCAAAGAAUAAGGAUGAUGAAGAAUAUGAGAGCUUUGUUGAAAUGCUUAGACCUGUCUUUUUGUGUUUGCGUUUGAUUGAUAUUUUGAAAAUGUCUCCUUACGCCAAGUAUAUGAAAGAUAUUGUUACUAAUAAAAGAAAGAUACCGGAAGCUGAAAUUUCCACCAUGCUUGCUAAUUAUACAUUUAAGGGUGGAAUUUCGAAGAAACUAGGAGAUCCAGGAAUACAAACUAUACCAUGCUCCAUUAAAAGAAACUAUGUUAAACUGCUUUGUGUAAUUUAGGAGCAGGUGUCAGUGUUAUGCAUUUCUCUUUGUAUCGAAGACUUGAUUUGAAUAAGUUGACACCAACUGAAAUCUCCUUGCAAAUGGCUGAUAAAUCAACUGCUAUACCCAUCGGUAUUUGUGAGGAUGUGCCUGUCGUAGUCGCAAAUGUUACUAUCUUAACGGACUUUGUUAUUAUUGAUAUACCCGAGGACGAUAGUAAGUCGAUCAUCCUUGGUAGACCCUUUCUGAAUACUCCAGGGGCUGUUAUUGAUUGCAACAAAGGCAAUGUCACUUUUCAUGUUAAUGGGUAAUGAGCAUACAGUACACUUUCCAAAGAAACAACCUCAAGUGAAUAGUAUCAAUUCAACUGGAUUCUACUGGAAAAAAUUUCAACAAUUACUAUUGGAGGUUCUGAAUUCCCUAUUCCUACUGUCAAAAAUAAAUAUGGUAUUCUUAUUAUUGGGGACAUGCAUAUCCCCGUUGGGGUAACCAAGUGUUAUACAAAGAUUCUCCUGUUUCAUGCCAUUCAGAAGAAGUUUGUUAAUAAGACUUGAUCAACCUUAUUAAUGGAUUCCUUUUGACGGGCAUGUGAUGGAUGAAUUUAGUAACACAACUUUCUGUACCACAUUUUACUUUCUAUUAUUUAGAAUUAAUAAAGUAGAAAUGCUAUUAUUGUACUGUUUUCUCAAUUAUCCGUACAAUAAAAAAAUGACCAGAAAAUAGAAGUUCUCCAAAUGCCCUAAAAAUUUAUUGGUUUUUUCUACAAUAUUUAAGAAUAUUUGGCACUGAACACACCUCGGGGGUGCACCUGUAAGCCACUGAUACGUCUCUGAUACGUCUCCAACGUAUCUAUAAUUUUUGAUUGUUCCAUGCUAUUAUAUAUUCUGUUUUGGAUGUUUAAUGGGCUUUAUUAUACACUUUUAUAUUAUUUUUGGGACUAACCUAUUAACCGGAGGCCCAACCCAAAUUGCUGUUUUUUUUGCCUAUUUCAGUGUUUUGAAGGACAGGGAUAUCAAACGGAGUCCAAACGGAAUGAAUCCUUCGAGAACAUGAUUUUCGGAACAAACGUGAUCCAGAGGACUUGGAGUGGACGUCAAGCAAUCAACGAGGAGGCCACGAGGCAGGGGUCGCGCCUACCCCCUGGGCGCGCCCUCCACCCUCGUGGCCCCCUCGUAGCUCCACUGACCUACUUCUUCCUCCUAUAUAUACCUACGUACCCCGAAAACAUCAGAUACGGAGCCAAAAACCUAUUUCCACCGCCGCAACCUUCUGUACCCGUGAGAUCCCAUCUUGGGGCCUUUUCUGGUGCUCCGCCGGAGGAGGCAUCGAUCACGGAGGGCUUCUACAUCAACACCAUAGCCUCUCCGAUGAUGUGUGAGUAGUUUACCUCAGACCUCUGGGUCCAUAGUUAUUAGCUAGAUGGCUUCUUCUCUCUCUUUGGAUCUCAAUACAAAGUUCUCCUCGAUUCUCUUGGAGAUCUAUUCGAUGUAAUCUUCUUUUGCGGUGUGUUUGUCGAGAUCCGAUAAAUUGUGGGUUUAUGAUCAAGAUUAUCUAUGAACAAUAUUUGGAUCUCCUCUGAAUUCUUUUAUGUAUGAUUGGUUAUCUUUGCAAGUCUCUUCGAAUUAUCAGUUUGGUUUGGCCUACUAGAUUGAUCUUUCUUGCAAUGGGAGAAGUGCUAAGCUUUGGGUUCAAUCUUGCGGUGCUCGAUCCCAGUGACAGUAGGGGAAACGACACGUAUUGUAUUUUUGCCAUCGAGGAAAAAAAUAUGGGGUUUAUAUCAUAUUGCAUGAGUUUAUCCCUCUACAUCAUGUCAUCUUGCUUAAAGCGUUACUCUGUUCUUAUGAACUUAAUACUCUAGAUGCAUGCUGGAUAGCGGUUGAUGUGUGGAGUAAUAGUAGUAGAUGCAGGCAGGAGUCGGUCUACUUGUCACGGACGUGAUGCCUAUAUACAUGAUCAUACCUAGAUAUUCUCAUAACUAUGCUCUCAAUUCUAUCAAUUGCUUGACAGUAAUUUGUUCACCCACCGUAAUACUUAUGCUAUCUUGAGAGAAGCCACUAGUGAAACCUAUGGCUCCCGGGUCUAUUUUCUAUCAUAUUAAUCUCCCGUCAACAAGCUAUUUCUGGCACCGUUUAUUUUGCUUUCUUUACUUUUAGUCUUUAUCAUAAAAAUACCAAAAAUAUUAUCUUAUCAUCUCUAUCAGAUCUCACUUUUGCAAGUGGCCGUGAAGGGAUUGACAACCCCUUUAUCGCGUUGGUUGCAAGGUUCUUAUUUGUCUAUGUAGGUGCGUGGGACUUGAGCGUGGUCUCCUACUGGAUUGAUACCUUGGUUCUAAAAAACUGAGGGAAAUACUUACGCUACUUUACUUCAUCACCCUUUCCUCUUCAAGGGAAAACCAACGCAGUGCUCAAGAGGUAGCAAGAAGGCUUUCUGGCGCCGUUGCCGGGGAGUCUACACACAAGUCAAGACAUACCAAGUACCCAUCACAAACUCUUAUCCCCCGCAUUACAUUAUUUGCCAUUUGCCUCUCGUUUUCCUCUCCCCCACUUCACCUUUGCCUUUUCUUCGCCUUCUCCCCGUAUGUCUUUUUGUUUGUGUUUCCACGUGCCUUCUAUUUGCUUGCAUCUUUGCUUGAUAAAAAUCUAUUGAUAUGGAUCCAAUUAAAGUGUUCUACUUGGAUCAUCUUCGAUCCUUAUGCGCUCGUGCUGAAACCCCAACUAGCCUAGUUGAUGGGAAAUCUUUAGAUGAGCAUGCUCAUUUUGUGCAUCACCGUUUGCCUGAAAAAGGGAGACUCUUAUGGGAUCAAAUAAACAGAUUGCUUUGUUAUGCUUGGAAUCUUUGUGAAAUUUAUGAUUUUACUUGUUUCUCUAAGAACCCUAAAAAACACCUUCCCUACCUAUGUGAGUUUAAUGAAAAUGAAAUCUUAUCUUCUUAUGGAAAGGGUGUUUAUAGUUACUAUGAUAUCGAAGAAAUUGAAGAAUUUGUUGCUUUUAAGGGUAUUACUCUCUACGAAUCUGAAAAUUUUGACAUACUUAAAUAUUGCUAUGAAAACUAUGCUCAUAAUGUCUAUGUCAAAGAAUUUAUUGAGAGAAUGACCGUUGCUUUUGGAGAAAAUAAUGAUAUGCAUGAAUCUAUAGAUAAUGAUGAUUCCGAUGAUUUGAUUGAAAUAUCCCUUGAUGAACAUGAUGCUUGCUAUUCUUGUGGUCAUGAUGCCAAUAUCUAUGAAGAUGAAUUUGCUAUAGUUCCUUAUUAAACAUGAGAUCGUUGCUAUUGCACCCUUAUUUGAUAGUUCCUUCGAUGAAAAGCAUGAUUGCAAUGAUGUUAUUAUAAAUUAUCUUAAUGUCAAUUGUGCUAAUAAUAUGCAAAACCCUAAGCUUGGGGAUUCUAGUUUUCCUAUGUCUACUACUUGUUGCAAUGAUCAUGAUUGGGGUGAUUCUUCUUAUGAUCUUGAAAAUUUAUUUAAGCUCCAUGAUGAAUAUGAGAUUGAUAAUAGUGUUUGCAAUAAUAUUGAAAGUGGGUUUGUAAGAGUGUCAACUUUAGAUCCCACAUAUUUGGAGAAUGUUCAAUCUUAUGGUAUUUUUGAUAAAAGUGGGUUUGGAUAGGUCAUGACUUUAGUUAAUGAUAAUCCCACUAUUUUGGAAGAGUGUCAACUUCGCUUGCAUGUGGAUCGUGUUGAGAAUAUGUUAUGCGAUAGCUAUUUUGUUGAAUUUGCCUAUGAUCAUACAUGUAAUUAUUAUGAGAGAGGAAAAUAUGGUUGUAGAAAUUUUUAUCUUACUAAAUUACCUCUUGUCAUGUUGAGAUUGCUAUCGUCUCUUUCUUCUUCCUUGCAUAUGCUAAUUUUUGCUAGUUAUGAUAAUUUGUUUUCUUAUAAAAUGCCUAUGAAUAGGAAGUAUGUUAGACUUAGAUGUGUUUAUCACGUGUUCUAUGAUGCUCUCUUUGCGCUUUAAUUCUUGUCUUUGAUGUGAGCAUCAUUAAAAUUAUCAAUGCCUAGCUAGGGGCGUUAAACGAUAGCGCUUGUUGGGAGGCAACCCAAUUUUAUUUUAAUUUUUUUGCUUUUUGUUUCUGUUUAGUAAUAAAUCUUUGAUCUAGCCUCUGGUUAGAUUUGUUUUUAUGUUUUAAUUAGUGUUUGUGCCAAGUUAAACCUAUAGGAUCUUCUAGGAUGAUAGUUAUUUGAUCUUGCUGAAAAUUCCAGAUACUUUCUGUUCACAAAAACAAUUGUUAAAAAUCACCAGAUCGCGAUAAAAUACUGAUUCCAAUUGCAGUAGAUCAAUAAAUUUUUUUUCUAGGUCUUCCUAUUUUGGUAGAUUUUUAUGAGUUCCAGAAGUUUGCGUUUGAUGCAGAUUACUACAGACUGUUCUGUUUUUGACAGAUUCUGUUUUUAGUGUGUUGUUUGCUUAUUUUGAUGAAUCUACGGCUAGUAAAAGACUUUAUAAACCAUAGAUAAGUUGGAAUACAGUAGGUUUAACACCAAUAUAAAUAAAGAAUGAGUUCAUUACAGUACCUUGAAGUGGUGUUUUGUUUUCUUUCGCUAACGGAGCUCACGAGAUUUUCUGUUAAGUUUUGUGUUGUGAAGUUUUCAAGUUUUGGGUAAAGAUUUGAUGGAUUAUGGAACAAGGAUUGGAAAGGGCCUAAGCUUGGGUAUUCCCAAGGCACUCCAAGGUAAAAUUCAAGGACAACCAAAAGCCUAAGCUUGGGGAUGCCCCGUAAGGCAUCCCCUCUUUCGUCUUCGUCUAUCGGUAACUUUACUUGGGGCUAUAUUUUAUUCACCACAUGAUAUGUGUUUUGCUUGGAGCGUCUUGUAUGAUUUGAGUUUAUGCUUUUUAGUUUACCACAAUCAUCCUUGCUGUACACACCUUUUGAGAGAGACACACAUGAUUUGGAAUUUGUUAGAACUAUGUGCUUCACUUAUAUCUUUUGAGCUAUAUAGUUUUUGCUCUAGUGCUUCACUUAUAUCUUUUAGAGCAAGGUGGUGGUUUUGUUUUAUAGAAAUUAUUGUUCUCUCAUGCUUCACUUAUAUUAUUUUGAGAGUCCUACAAAACAGCAUGGUAAUUUCCUUAAAUUGUGAAAUUAGUCCUAAUAUGAUAGGCAUCCAACAUUAGUAAAAACUUUCUUAUAAGUGCGUUGAAUACUAAGAGAAGUUUGAUACUUGAUGAUUGUUUUGAGAUAUGGAGGUAGUGAUAUUAAAGUUGUGCUAGUUGAGUAAUUGUGAAUUUGAGAAAUACUUGUGUUGAAGUUUGCAAGUCCCGUAGCAUGCACGUAUGGUAAACGUUGUGUAACAAAUUUGAAACAUGAGGUGUUCUUGGAUUGUCCUCCUUAUGAGUGGCGGUCGGGGACGAGCGAUGGUCUUCUCCUACCAAUCUAUCCCCCUAGGAGCAUGUGUGUAGUGCUUGGUUUUUGAUGACUUGUAGAUUUUUCCAAUAAGUAUGUGAGUUCUUUAUGACUAAUGUUGAGUCCAUGGAUUAUACGCACUCUCACCCUUCCAUCAUUGCUAGCCUCUUUGGUACCGUGCAUUGCCCUUUCUCACCUUGAGAGUCGGUGCAAACUUCGCCGGUGCAUCCAAACCCCGUGAUACGAUACGCUCUAUCACACAUAAACCUCCUUAUAUCUUCCUCAAAACAGCCACCAUACCUACCUAUUAUGGCAUUUCCAUAGCCAUUCCGAGAUAUAUUGCCAUGCAACUUACCACCAUUCCAUUUAUCAUGACACGCUUCAUCAUUGUCAUAUUGCUUUGUAUGAUCAUGUAGUUGACAUCGUAUUUGUGGUAAAGCCACCAUGCAUAUUAUUUCAUACAUGUCACUCUUGAUUCAUUGCCCAUCCCGGUACACCGCCGGAUGCAUUCAUAUAGAGUCAUACUUUGUUCUAGUAUUGAGUUGUAAUCAUUGAGUUGUAAAUAAAUAGAAGUGUGAUGAUCAUCAUUCAUAGAGCAUUGUCCCAAAAAAAGAGAAGAAAAAAAAAGAAAAAAUAAAUAAAAAAGGGGCAAUGCUACUUUCCUUUUUUCACACUUGUGCUUCAAAGUAGCACCAUAAUCUUUAUGAUAGAGAGUCUUUUGUUUUGUCACUUUCAUAUACAAGUGGGAAUUUUUCAUUAUAGAACUUGGCUUGUAUAUUCCAACAAUGGGCUUCCUCAAAUGCCCUAGGUCUUCAUGAGCAAGCAAGUUGGAUGCACACCCACUUAGUUUCUUUUGUUGAGCUUUCAUACAUUUAUAGCUCUAGUGCAUCCGUUGCAUGGCAAGCCCUACUCCUUGCAUUGACAUCAAUUGAUGGGCAUCUCCCUAGCGUUGAUUAGCCGCGUCAAUGUGAGACUUUCUCCUUUUUUGUCUUCUCCACAUAACCCCCAUCAUCAUAUUCUAUUCCACCCAUAGUGCUAUAUCCAUGGCUCACACUCAUAUAUUGCGUGUAAGUUGAAAAAGUUUGAGAUUACUAAAGUAUGAAACAAUUGCUUGGCUAGUCAUCGGGGUUGUGCAUGAUGAGAGCAUUCUUGUGUGACGAAAAUGGAGCAUGACCAAACUAUAUGAUUUUGUAGGGAUGAACUUUCUUUGGCCAUGUUAUUUUGAGAAGACAUAAUUGCUUAGUUAGUAUGCUUGAAGUAUUAUUAUUUUUAUGUCAAUAUUAAACUUUUAUCUUGAAUCUUUUGGAUCUGAAUAUUCAUGCCACUAUUGAGGGAAUUACAUUGAAAAUUAUGCUAAGAAGCAUUCCACAUCAAAAAUUCUAUUUUUAUAAUUUACCUACUCGAGGAUGACCAGGAAUUAAGCUUGGGGAUGCUUGAUACGUCUCCAAUGUAUCUAUAAUUUUUGAUUGUUCCAUGCUAUCAUAUAUUCUGUUUUGGAUGUUUAAUGGGCUUUAUUAUACACUUUUAUAUUAUUUUUGGGACUAACCUAUAAACCGGAGGCCCAGCCCAAAUUGCUGUUUUUUUUUGCCUAUUUUAAUGUUUCGAAGGACACGGAUAUCAAACGGAGUCCAAACGGAAUGAAACCUUCGGGAACGUGAUUUUCGGAACAAAUAUGAUCCAGAGGACUUGGAGUGGACGUCAAGCAAUCAACAAGGAGGCCACGAGGCAGGGGGCGCGCCUACCCCCCUAGGCGCGCCCUCCACCCUCGUGGGACCCUCGUAGCUCCACCGACCUACUUCUUCCUCCUAUAUAUACCUACGUACCCCAAAAACAUCAGAUACGGAGCCAAAACCCUAUUUCCACCGCCGCAACCUUCUGUACCCGUGAGAUCCCAUCUUGGGGCCUUUUCCGGCGCUCCGCCGGAGGGGGCAUCGAUCACGGAGGGCUUCUACAUCAACACCAUAGCCUCUCCGAUGAUGUGUUAGUAGUUUACCUCAGACCUUCGGGUCCAUAGUUAUUAGCUAGAUGGCUUCUUCUCUCUCUUUGGAUCUCAAUACAAAGUUCUCCUCGAUUCUCUUGGAGAUCUAUUCGAUGUAAUCUUCUUUUGCGGUGUGUUUGUCGACAUCUGAUGAAUUGUGGGUUUAUCAUCAAGAUUAUCUAUGAACAAUAUUUGAAUCUCCUCUGAAUUCUUUUACAUAUGAUUGGUUAUCUUUGCAAGUCUCUUCGAAUUAUCAGUUUGGUUUGGCCUACUAGAUUGAUCUUUCGUGUAUUGGGAGAAGUGCUUAGCUUUGGGUUAAAUCUUGCGGUGCUCGAUCCCAGUGACAGUAGGGGAACCGACAUGUAUUGUAUUGUUGCCAUCGAGGAUAAAAAGAUGGGGUUUAUAUCGUAUUGCAUGAGUUUAUCCCUCUACAUCAUGUCAUCUUGCUUAAACUGCUACUCUGUUCUUAUGAACUUAGUACUCUGGAUGCAUGCUGGAUAGUGGUCGAUGUGUGGAGUAAUAGUAGUAGAUGUAGGCAGGAGUCGGUCUACUUGUCACGGACGUGAUGCCUAUAUACAUGAUCAUACCUAGAUAUUCUCAUAACUAUGCUCAAUUCUAUCAAUUGCUCGACAGUAAUUUGUUCACCCACCGUAAUACUUAUGCUAUCUUGAGAGAAGCCACUAGUGAAACCUUUGGCCCCCGGGUCUAUUUUCUAUCAUAUUAAUCUCCCGUCAACAAGCUAUUUCUGGCACCGUUUAUUUUGCUUUCUUUACUUUUAGUCUGUAUCAUAAAAAUACCAAAAAUAUUAUCUUAUCAUCUUUAUCAGAUCUCACUUUUGUAAGUGGCCGUGAAGGGAUUCACAACCCUUUUAUGGCCUUGGUUGCAAGGUUCUUAUUUGUUUGUGUAGGUGCGUGGGACUUGAGCGUGGUCUCCUACUAGAUUGAUACCUUGGUUCUCAAAAACCGAGGGAAAUACUUACGCUACUUUACUGCAUCACCCUUUCCUCUUCAAGGGAAAACCAACGCAGUGCUCAAGAGGUAGCAGUCUCCAACGUAUCUAUAACUUUUUAUUGUUCCAUGCUGUUAUAUUAUCAAUGUUGGAUGUUUUAUAAUCAUUUUUUGCUACUAACCUAUUGACAUAGUGCCAAGUGCUAGUUACUGUUUUUUGCAUGUUUUUUACAUCGCAGGAAAUCAAUACCAAAUGGAGUCCAAAUACAACGAAACUUUUUGGAGAUUUUUUUUGGACCAGAAGACAUCCAGUGGGCCGAAGAAGCACCUGGGGGGUUCUCCGAGGGGAGCACAACCCACCCCAGGCGCGCCCAGAAGGGUUGUGCCCACCUCGGGUGCCCCCUGAACCUCCUCUUUUCUCUAUAAAUACCCCAAUAUUCCAGAAACCCUAGGGGAGUCGACGAAAAUCAAUUCCAGCCGCCGUAGAGUCCAGAACCACCAGAUCCAAUCUAGACACCAUCACGGAGGGGUUCACCACUUCCAUUGGUGCGUCUCCAAUGAUGCAUGAGUAGUUCUUUGUAGACCUUCGGGUCCGUAGUUAGUAGCUAGAUGGCUUCCUCUCUCUCGUUUGAUUCUCAAUACAAUGGUCUCUUGGAGAUCCAUAUGAUGUAACUCUUUUUACGGUGUGUUUGUUGGGAUCGGAUGAACUUUGAGUUUAUGAUCAGAUCUAUCUUUUUAUCCUUGAAAAUUAUUUGAGUUUCUUUGAUCUCUUAUAUGCAUGAUUGCUUAUAGCCUCGUAUUUCUUCUCCGAUAUUUGGGUUUUGUUUGGCCUACUUGAUCUAUUUAUCUUGCAAUGGGAAGAGGUGCUUUGUAGUGGGUUUGAUCUUACGGUGCUUGAUCCCAGUGACAGAAGGGGAACCGACACGUAUGUAUCGUUGCUACUAAGGAUAAAACGAUGGGGGUCUAUUUAUACAUAAAUAGAUCUUGUCUACAUCAUGUCAUCGUUCUUAUUGCAUUACUCCGUUUCCCCAUGAACUUAAUACACUAGAUGCAUGCUGAAUAGCGGUCGAUGUGUGGAGUAAUAGUAGUAAAUGCAGGUAGGAGUCGGUUUACUAAUCUUGGACGUGAUGCCUAUAUAAUGAUCAUUGCCUGGAUAUCAUCAUGAUUAUUUGAAGUUCUAUCAAUUGCCCAACAGUAAUUUUUUUACCCACCGUUUGCUAUUUUUCUCGAGAGAAGCCACUAGUGAAACCAACGGCCCCCGGGUCUCUUUCUCAUAUUAUUUGCCUUUGCGAUCUAUUUUCCUUUGCUUUUAUUUUUAGAUCUAUUAAACCAAAAAUACAAAAAUACCUUACUGCAAUUUAUUCUUAUUUAUUUUAUUUGGCGUUCGAUCUAUCAAUCUACUACAAUUUAUUCACGUCUGUUUGCCUAUCUUGGGCACCAUACCCGAAAGGGAUUGACAACCCCUUUUACACGUCGGUUGCGAGUAUUUGUUAUUUGUGUGCAGGUUCUGUUUAUGUUGUGUUUCUUGGUCCUCCUACUAGUUCGAUAACCUUGGUUUCAUCACUGAGGGAAGUACCUACCGUCGCUGUGCUGCAUCAUCCCUUUCUCUUUGGGGAAAUACCGACAUAGCUUCAAGCCACAUCAAAAGGAAUUUCUGGCGCCGUUGCCAGGGAGGAUCUUCAACACAUACCAGGUUCCUAAUCACAAAUCUCAUCUCCUCGCGAUUUACAUUAUUUGCCAUUUGCCUCUCGUUUUCCUCCCCCCACUUGACCAAAAUUUGCCGUUUUGUUUGCCCUCUUUUUCGUUCGCUGUUUUCUUCCCGGAUCUGUUUUUGAGUGCAAUCUUGUUGCGUAGUCAUCAUGACUCAAGAGAACACCAAGUUGUGUGAUUUCUCAAAUACCAACAACAAUGAUUUUAUCGGCACUCCAAUUGCUCCUCCCGCCACUAGUGCGGAGUCUUGUGAUAUUAAUACUGCAUUGUUGAAUCUUGUUAUGAAAGAUCAAUUUUCUGGUACUCCUAAUGAGGAUGUCGCGUCCCAUCUUAAUACCUUCGUGUAAUUGUGCGAUAUGCAUAAGAAAAAAGAUGUGGACAAUUAUGUGGUGAAGAUGAAAGUAUUUCCGUUUUCUUUGCGUGAUUCUGCAAAAAUUUGGUUCUCUUCUUUGCCUCGCAAUAGUAUCGAUUCUUGGAAUAAGUGCAAAGUUGCUUUUAUCACUAAGUAUUUUCCGCCCACAAAAAUUAUUUCCCUUAGAACCCAGAUCAUGAAUUUCAAGCAACUUGAACAUGAGCAUGUUGCACAAUCGUGGGAAAGGAUGAAAAUGAUGCUAAGGAAUUGCCCAACUCAUGGGUUAAAUCUUUGGAUGAUCAUACAAAAUUUUUAUGCGGGAUUGAAUUUUAUUUCUCGUAAUCUUUUAGAUUCUGCCGCGGGUGGUACUUUUAGGGAAAUUACUUUGGGUGAAGCCACGAAAUUGCUUGAUAAUAUUAUGGCAAAUUAUUCACAAUGGCAUACCGAAAGAGCUCCUACUAGUAAAAAGGUUAAUUCGGUUGAAGAAAUUUCUUCUUUGAGUGAAAAAGUUGAUGCUCUUAUGAAAUUGGGUGCUAGUGUUUCUACAAUUCUGAAAUCUUUAUGUGAUGUGCUUGGUCUUACCGGUAUUGAAGAAUGCUCUUUAAAUUUGCACUUGGCGGAUUCUAUUAUUAAAAAGCCUAUGGGAAGAAUUAAUGAUGUUCUUAUUCUUGCAAAUAGGAAUUAUGUGCCCAUAGAUUUUAUUGUUCUUGAUAUUGAUUGCAAUCCGUCUUGUCCAAUUAUUCUUGGUAGACCGUUUUUACGCACUAUCGGUGCCGUGAUUGAUAUGAAAGAAGGCAAUAUUAAGUUCCAAUUUCCUUUAAGGAAGGGUAUGGAGCACUUCCCUAGAACAAGAAUUAGACCACCAUAUGAAUCAAUCAGGAGGGCAUCUUAUGGAUCUCGAAACAAAGAUGACAAAACUUAGAUUCUUUUCAUUAGGCCUAGCUAAGGGCGUAAAACUAUAGCGCUUGUUGGGAGGCAACCCAAUGAAUAAAGUUUAUUUUUGCUUUUUUGCUUUCUGUUCUUGAGUGUUUGCACAAUUAUGCUACUGUUAUGAUUGUGUUUUUUGUGUUUAAAUUAGUGUUUGUGCCAAGUAAAGCCUUCUGGAUCUUCUUGGGUGAUAGUUGUUUGAUCUUGCUGAAAAACAGAAAUUUUUGCGCUCACGAAAAUAAUUCUCAUUUUUAACCAGAGUGUGAUAAAAUACCAAUUCUUUUUGCAGAAGAUUAAUAUACAAAUUUCUCACGUGGUCCUAAAUUUUUCAUAAUUUUUCGAGUUUCAAAAGUAUUCGGAAUAUUCAGAUUACUACAGACUCUUUUGUUUCUAACAGAUUCUGUUUUCUUUGCGUUGUGUGCUUGCUUUGAUGAUUCUAUGGUUUUCUUUGAUGAGUUUUCGCCAUAGAAAAGUUGGAAUACAUUAGAUAUAAUGCAAGAACAAAAUAUGAAUUGGUUUGCUACGGUAAUUAUAGUAGUGAUUUGCUUUUUAUACUAACGGAUCUCAUAAAGGUUUUGUUGGAGUUCUGUGUGAUUGAAGUUUUCAAGUUUUGGGUUAUCUUACGAUGGAUGAAGGAAUAAGGAGUAAGAAGAGCCUAAGAUUGGGGAUGCCCCGGCAUCGCAAGCUAUUAUCCAAAGAGAGCAAGCAACUAAGAUUGGGGAUGCCCCAAGUGGCAUCCCCUCUUUCUUCUAACGACCAUCGGUAUUUUACUCGAAGCUAUAUUUUUAUUCAUCACAGACUAUGUGUUUUGCUUGGAGCAUCUUGUAUGAUAUGGGUCUUUGCUUGUUUUAUUUUGUGUUUUAAGUCUUGAUUCCUUGCUGGACACGCCUAUUUGAGAGAGCCAAAAUUAUGUCAUGACUUGUUAGAAUUGCUCUCUAUGCUUCACUUAAUUUUUUAAGAGCUAUGGAUUUGCUCUAGUGCUUCACUUAGAUUUAUUUGAGAGUUAGUAAAAUUUUCAAGAAAUUCCAUCUUGCUUCACUUAAAUUAAUUUGAGAGAAAGAAAUUUUAUGCUCAUGAUCUUCACUUAUAUUUGUUUGAGCUUGUCAAAAGCAACACAUGAAAAUUAGUUCCAAAGUGAUAGAUAUCCUAGAGGAAUAUAAUAAAAACUUUCAUGAAGAUCAUUGGACAAAAUAAACUUAAUUCUUAGUAAUAGUUUUGAGAUAUGAUGAUGUGAUAUGUCAUUCAUCUUGAUGAGUAAUUAUGCUUUAGUAAGAAUAUUGGUGUUAAGGUUUGUGAUUCCCUAUGCAAGCUCGAAAGUCAAUAAUUAUGCAAUGAAAUUAUAUCCUACUUGUGGUGCAUUAUUCGGUGUUAAUUAUGCUUAAUGCUCGCUUAUGAGAUUAUUCGUUUCUUGGUUGGUCGCUUCUCAAUCUUUUGCUAGCCUUCAUUUUGCAUGAAGUAUGAUCACUACUUAUGCAUCCAAAACCUUUUAAACCAGUUUUGCCACAUGAGUCCACUAUAUCUACCUAUAUGCGGUAUUCUUUUGCCGUUCUAAGCAAAUUUGUAUGUGCCAUCUCUAAUAUUCAAAAUAAAUUUCUCUUUUGUGUGCUCGUACCGCUCACGAGGCGGUGAGGGGUGGCUAAUAUCUUCCAUGCUAGAUGUGUUAUUCUCACGAUGAGUGUUUAUUCACUUUUCAUUGCACGAGAGUAAGGCAAAGGUAUUAUGGAUGCCCAGUCCCGAAAUGAAAAAUGAAUUUACUUUAUGUUGUCAAAUAAUAAAUUCCUUGGAAAGUGUUGGUAUGGAAGGCACCCGUGGAUACGGUUAGCCAUGGAAAGUGAAAGUAUGGUGGAAAAAGGAAUGAACUUUAAUUUCUGUUUGGGAACUGCCUAUGGUAUAUCUAGCAUGGAAAGUGUUGGGAACUCUAAGUCGUUUUCAUUGGUGGGAAAGUCACACCUCCCAAAAUGUUUUUACCUCUAAGUUUUUCGCUUUGAGCUGUGGCACCUCUACAAAUCCCUACUUCCCUCCACGAAGGGCCUUUCUUUUACUUAAUGCAAUUUUUAUUUUUUAAUUUGAGUCUCCAUCUUCUCUUAUAAAAGCACCAACUAGGGGGCACAAUGAUCUUACUUGAGAAUUGGGUGUAGUUAAUAUGCGAGUGUGUUUUAUGAAUGGAUCAAUGAUUGAUCAUGAUGGUCUAGGGAUAGCUUAUUUUAGCGUUGAUAUUUUGAAAGACAUGGUUGCUUGUUGAUAUGCUUGAGUAUUUAAGUUAUCAUGUCAAAACUAGACUAUUGCUUUGAACAAUAUAAAAGUCCAAAUGUCCAUGAUAUAAAGAAAAGAAUAUGAUAUGACAUGUUAGGCAGCAUUCCACAUCAAAAAUUCUGUUUUUAUCAUUUACCUACUCGAGGACGAGCGGGAAUUAAGCUUGGGGAUGCCGAUACGUCUCCAACAUAUCUAUAAUUUUUUAUUGUUCCAUGCUGUUAUAUUAUCAAUCUUGGAUGUUUUAUAAUCAUUUUAUAGUCAUUUUAUAUCAUUUUUUGGUACUAACCUGUUGAUAUAGUGCCAAGUGCCAGUUGUUGUUUUCUGCAUGUUUUUUACAUCGCAGGAUAUCAAUAGCACACGGAGUCCAAACGCAACAAAACUUUUUGGAGAUUUUUUGGACCAGAAGACAUCCAUUGGGCCGAAGAAGCACUUGGGGGGUGCUCCGAGGGGAGCACAACCCACCCAGGCGCGCCCAGGUGGGUUGUGCCCACCUCGGGUGCCCCCUGAACCGCCUCUUUGCUCUAUAAAUACCCCAAUAUUCCAGAAACCCUAGGGGAGUCGACAAAAAUCAAUUCCAGCCGCCGUAGAGUCUAGAACCACUAUAUCCAAUCUAGACACCAUCACGGAGGGGUUCACCACUUCCAUUGGUGCCUCUCCGAUGAUGCGUGAGUAGUUCUUUGUAGACCUUCGGGUCCAUAGUUAGUAGCUAGAUGGCUUCCUCUCUCUCGUUUAAUUCUCAAUACAAUGGUCGUUUGGAGAUCCAUAUGAUGUAACUCUUUUUGCCGUGUGUUUGUUGGGAUCAGAUGAACUUUGAGUUUAUUAUCAGAUCUAUCUUUUUAUCCAUGAAAGUUAUUUGAGUUUCUUUGAUCUCUUAUAUGCAUGAUUGCUUAUAGCCUCGUAUUUCUUCUCCGAUAUUUGGGUUUUGUUUGGCCAACUUGAUCUAUUUAUCUUGCAAUGGGAAGAGGUGCUUUGUAGUGGGUUCGAUCUUACGGUGCUUGAUCCCAGUGACAGAAGGGGAAUCGACACAUAUGUAUCGUUCCUACUAAGGAUAAAAUGAUGGGGUCUAUUUCUACAUAAAUAGAUCUUGUCUACAUCAUGUCAUCGUUCUUAUUGCAUUACUCCGUUUCCCCCAUGAACUUAAUACACUAGAUGCAUGCUGGAUAGCGGUCGAUGUGUGGAAUAUUAGUAGUAGAUGCAAGCAGGAUUGAGUCUACUAAUCUUGGAGUGAUGCCUAUAUAAUGAUCAUUGCCUGGAUAUCGUCAUGAUUAUUUGAAGUUCUAUCAACUGCCCAAUAGUAAUUUGUUUACCCACCAUUUGCUAUUUUUCUCGAGAGAAGCCACUAGUGAAACCUACGGCCCCCGGGUCUCUUCUUUAAUUUUUGUGAUCCCCUAUACGUUUUGGUUAUCAGGCACCUAACAGUUUUGCAUUGACAGAUGCAUCAUGAUGGUUGUGCCUGGAUUCCCAUGCACGCAUCUCACAAAAUGGGAAACAGUAGGAGAUGUGGUGCCGUCGAGCCCAUCAUUUUGGUGUUUUGGCUAGACGAUGAUGGAUAUAUACCGUCACACCGAGAGAGCCCUUAGAAUAUCUCUUCAUCAUUAGAGGAGCAAAUCCCAAUCUCGAGCUAUUAAGUACCUUGUCAUGCACUUGUAAGUUGCCAUAAUGAUCACCCUAUUACGAUUGACGUUAGAACAACCCCAAAGUACAUCAUCUGGUAUGAAGAUACUUGGUACUCGCGGUCUAAGGAAUUAUGCAUAUGUUAACUUUAUCCGUAUUAUUAACUAUCAACUUGUGACGAAAGGAUCGCAUAGUAUAACAAUCAACUUGGGGAAAUUCAACACAAUUAUUCUUCUAACAUUGUGCCCUCAAACUUGCCAGCACCAUCGUUACACUUAACUAUGCCCACGAUUUGGAAAAUAGAACCAUCAUGCAACACUUGAGCUCGUCCUAGAGGCAAGAUUAGGGACCUAUUUCACCAUUUGUAAUUCUACACAUACAGAUGAGUUUUCCUCUGAGCCCCUGGUUCUCGCAGACUCGAGAACCAUAGAAGUUAUACCAUAGAAUAUAAACAUUAAUCAUAAACCUGUAAAUAAUAAUAUUUUUAUUAUUGCCUCUAGGGCGUAUUUCCAACACAUGAGGUGUUGUGUUAUACAUCCAUAAUAAUGAAAUUAACAUGGACAUAAUUUCUAUUAGCAAUAAUAGGAACAUCAUAUCCCCUCCUAAAGAAUUCUUAACAGUGAAAUCAGCAAGACGCAAACUUAAAGUACAUUAAAUCAUUGUCUUCAAACUGAGAACAUCACAUAAAGCUUUAGGCACGGUCGAAACACUAGCCCCUGAAUCACAAAAAAAACUUUAAAUUCAUAAUUAUUGAUAGUGAUUUUAAUUGUAGGUCCCUCGCUAAUUUUCUAGGUGUACAAACUUCUUGUUCAAGUUUUUUUCCUUAGCUUUUAUAACAGCUUCAGCAAUAUGUUGAGUAAAAGCCUUAUUUUUGUUUUUGCACAUUAGGAGAAUUAAAUAUAGCAUGGAAGACUUCAAUAACUUCAGUAAGGAAGCAACCAUUAGGAUCAAAUUCACAUCCAUCCAUAUAACGACACAAAUACUACCUAAAAUUUUGACCUCUCCAACCCAACUUUUAGCAUUUUUAACAUAAGAUUGAUCACUCUCCGAACUUGUGGGAUUUUUAACCUAGAGUUGACUCUCUUCCAAUCCCACUUUCUGUAUCUUCAUACUAUUUAAUACCACUUAGCAAAUUUGUGAGUUCCUCCACCGAAUAGGUUUCAAUGCUACUUAAAGUUUUUACCCCUUCAAUACCCCUAUUUUUUAUGAUUUUCAGCAUAUGUAGCCCCUCUUUAUUGUUGCUCUCUCUCACGCCUAGCCCUAAGCAUGGCAAUCAUCCUAUAAUUAUUUUAUGAUUUAAUAGAUUCAGGCAUAUCUUCUUUAGUGUAAACAACAUUUAAAGUGAUUCUGGGACUAGAUUCAGAUGUAGAAACCAUUAUUUAGAUUUUUCCUCAUAAUGAAAACGGGAAAAGUUUUAAUGUAAACACAUCUGCAACCACUUCUUUGUAUUUUUGCAUAUCACAUAGAUCAAAAAAAUCUUUAAGAUGAGAAGCAGCAUAUUCACUAUCAGAAUGAUAGAAUUAUUCUUUCAUUACCAAAUUCAAAAAAGCAGGUUUGCUAUCAUAAGAUUCAUCACUAGUAGUUGGUGGAGCAAUUGGCGAACUAAUGAAAUUGUUCUUAUUACCACUUGUGAAAUCCCAAACUUUAGUAUUUUGAGGUGAAAUAGAUAUCUUUUCAAGUCUGAAACAAAAGUGUAACCUUGAUGGAAUUUAAAUGUUUUUGUCUCUUUUGAGGUUUUGAAAAGCCUAUUAGAAAAAUAGUGAGCAAAAAAAGUAACUAAGCAAGACUGAUAAAAAGGAAUUAUAGUAAAGGAGUGUAAGACCUAUGACUGUGAAGUAAACUCCUCGAUAAUGGCGCCAGAAAAAGGCAUGCUUCCUCUCAACUAGGAAGGUGUCCCCCCCCAAGUGCAAGGGUUUGUGCAAGCAACAAUUCCCUUAAGUGACUUCAAGGUUUAUGGAGCCAAUAGGAGUAUAGUACCAUGGCCAAUGAUCAACACCUGCACACACAUAGAUACAAAGCUGCCUUGGGAACCCAAAAGAACUAGUGAGGUUGUCAAUCUCACUAGCUUUGCUAGUUACAAGGAUUAAAAGUAGAAAGGGUAUAAAAAAAGGCUUGGACUUGAUGGAAAGUUAGCGGGAAUGUAAAAGCAAGAAAUUAAAGAGAGCAUUAAUUAAGGUUGAAAGUUUACAGGAAGAAGAUGGACCGGAUCCAUAGGCUCACUACUGGUUUCUCUCGAAAAGAAAGCAUGGUGUGGUAAACAAACUACAGUUGAACAUCAAUUAAAUUUCAUUAUUUGAUAACUAUGAUUAUCCAUGGCAUAAUCAACAUAUGAGCAUCACGUCCCAAUAUCUAUAGAUCGUUAACCAACUGCAUCUAUAGUUAAUACUCAACCUAAGAUUGCUAUCCAGCAUGCAUCUUAAAGUAUUAAGUAAAAACAGAGUAUUGCAAUAAGUAUGAUGACAUGAAGUAGAUGGUAUAUUGUCUUCACCUUGUCCUCAAAGGACAACUGCACUACAAUCUUUUAUCCCUAGUGGCAAUGACACAGUACAAACCUUUUCCACUUUCCAUCACUGCGGUAGAUUAAUUGCAAGGUUGAACCCAACUAUCAUACACAACUCCCUCUUGGAGAUCAAACCUUAAACAUGGCCAAAGAAAGAAUAAUAGAUCGGAGAGCAUAUAUGAGUGGGAAUUAUGCAGCAAAUAAACCAAGUAGAUCUUGAAAAGAUUCAUGGAUAAAUCUGAUCAUAAAGUGAAAGUUCAUCACCUAAGAAUCACACCUAUAGAUAACAUCACAUUUAUCAUAAUCAUGUAGGGCGGCUCAUGUGAUCUUUGAAUUGAGAAACAAGGGACAGAAAAGCAUCUAGCUAUUGCCACAGAUUCAUAGUUCAAAGAAAACUACUCACGGGCGAUCAUGCUGGCCUUCAAAUUGAUGGAGAUGACCAUCGUGAAGAAUUCCCCAUUCAUCAGAGCUCCAGAAAAGGCCUCUAGAUUGGAUCGUCAUGGAACAAGGUUAUGCAGCGAUAGAAAAGUUAGGGUUGCAAAUUCUCGAGGGGGCUUUUGGAAGUAUAUAAAGGCAUGGGCACCCAGGGGCGGUAUAUCAGAGCACCAGGGGGCCAUGGAGCCCCGCGAGGUGCCCCCUGACUGUGUGGAGGGGGCGGGUGGUGGAUGUGGGUCCGCCUAGCUUAUCGAUUGCUACCCGAAGCUUCCCGACACAAACUUCUCGUGAUUUUUUUUACAUUUUUUGAGCCCGGUAGAAUUUAUUUUCUUGAAAAUUAAAAAAAACAUGCAGCAAAUAGCAAUUAGGAUUGAGCACUAAAUUAAUAGGUUAGUCAAAAAAAUAAUUGGUGCCAAAAGUAUGCCAAACUGAUAUAACAUGGGCAUGAAACAAAAAAAAUUAUAGAUACAUUUGAUACGUAUCAUUGACCAUCACAAUCAAAAGAACCUUAGAACACCCAAGUGCCCCUCCCACUCUCUCCUACACAAUAUCCUGGAUCCUGGGGAGAAUUAGACUCUUGAGAGAGAUUUCACCAACUAAUAGAUCCUCUCUCUCUCUCUCUCUCUCUCUCUCUCUUGUCACUGAAGCAAUUUAUGAUUGGAGAGCAAGUCUUGAGCAUUCCCCAUUCAUCAAGUUACUCUUGGAGGUUGAAGACUCCUAGGCGGUAGGAGUGCUUGGGUGAUCACUCGACUUGUGAUUUAUGCUGAAAAUUUUGUGAAGGUUGGAGGUCGCCUGAAGGUUUGCCGCUAGUGGUUGAGAUUUACCCUCGUGAUGACAUCUCAAGGAGAAUAGGGUGAGCCUUCGUGGAAAGACUCGCCCCUCCAACAAUGACUAGCUUCCAUUCAUGGAAGUGAACAUCGAGAUACAUCCUUGUUGUCAUAGUUUCGGUUACCCCUAAGCCUAGAUCAUACUUAUGGUUUACUUUGGUCACUUGAUGCAGCGACCAGACCUAAGAUGGUCAAGUCUCUGUGCUUACAUGUCAUCCCUGGAUCGGUAUUGCUGACACACACAGUACUCCAGGAUAUAUAACAGAGUUCAAUCACACGCUUAUAAGAUCGAGUGUCUCAAAAAGAGUAGUUAUUACAAUAAUAUGGCUGAAGGCCAUCUAAAUAAGAUAAUUGCGGAAGCAUCGAAGUUAAAUGAGUCCAUCCAACUCCACGGCAAUACUGAGUGCACGACAACGACCUAGCGCACCUUACUCUUCGUCUGAAAAUUCUGCAACAUAAUACGCUGCAGCCGUGUAGGUCAGCACAUGGAAUAUGCUGGCAAGAUAACACUAUAGAGCAAUGAACAAAUAACAGCUAUCACUACAUGCAUAUAUGGCUGGUGGAGGCUCUAAGGUUAUCAUUUGCAUAAAGCCAAUUUUUUCCUACAACAAAGGAAUAAAUUUUAUUUAACUACCAAGUUUAUGUCAUUAUUAAGAAGGUUCCUCCAACUCAAUCCCAAAGUAAUAAUCAUAACCCAACAAUUUUAUUAAGUAAAGUGAUGAGAUCAAAUCAAUAAUUCAAGUACCAGAUACUCAAGAUGUCCAUAACUGGGGCACGGCUAACCAUGAUUAGUUUGUACACUCUGCAGAGGUUUGCGCACUUUUCCCCACAAGACUCGCUCUCCUCCGUUGAAUUUCUCGCACUACAUGUUGUUUGAGAAACGGAUGAUCGAGACACAGUCUUUCCGAAGCAUUAACUCUUUACUCUGGGUAGACAGUACCACCUACUUCCCCUACAUCUUCUAGCCUACCACUGAAACAGGUCACACAACAUACUCAACUAUGCCAGAUCCCAUAAUGGCUUGUUGCUGCACACGGAAGUUUCUAGCAUGAAUAAUCUUAUGAUCCCCUUGAGCCAGGGUCGCAAACCGUAGGAUGAUCGCACGAGUACUCCUAGAUAUCCUAGGACAAUACUGGAUUGCUCCAGGUGCCCGCAACCAAUCCACCCAGAUGUGUAUUAAAGUAGCCACCUUAAGUUUCCCUUAGUUAAAAAAACUCUCACGUCUUGCAUGAAUCUCACAUACCAACCCACGUCUACGAGCAUAGCAAAGUAAUGCAAUCAUAACGCAGUAACUCCUGGGGUUUCAAAAUAAGACAAUAGGUCCCUACCUCAUCAACUACUUCCCAAAUACCCACAUGUUAUCAAAUCCUACUCAUGCAAUGUUUGAGGGUUGAAACUAAUGCAUAAAAAACUAUGUAAUAAAGGGAUAUGAUCGAAGUGUUACUUGCCUUGCUGACGAUCGGAAAACCCUAGAGAUUCAUAGUAGCAAGCCUCGCACUCCUGAAACUCUAUCAUGAACAAACAAUAGCAUACAUAAGCACUCAAGCAUAAGAUGAAAAAGGUAAAAGAAAAAGGAAAGAUCUAAACAGAAAUUACAAGUGAAGAUCUUCAAUUAGCAAAAAGAAUCAAUCGAAUCGGAGAUAUGAAACUCAAACUACGAUCAAAAGAAGUUCGAAAACAAACCUGCUUGAAACCAAAUUUUAAAUUAUCAAAAUCAUGUUCAAGUUGUUUAUCAGAGCAGAGGGGAUCAAGACGAAGAUUUUGGCGUUGAUUUCACUAGAUUUGGAUAAAUGAGCAAAAAGUAGUAAGGGUUUGAAGAUCAGGGACUAAUCUGCAAGAAAACUAUUCGUGGAUAGGUCCCUGGCCGAAAAUAAACAGAAAAGAAAAAUCUAUUGGACGAACAUCCGAUAACAGAAGCUAACGAACGAAUUCGUUCGUGAACCAAUCUAAACCAGUGAACGCUCGCUAUUUAACAAAACCUAAAACUAAAAAUGAUCUAAAAGAAUAAACUGAAUUAAAAAACGGACGGUUUUCUCGGUUUAUACCGGUUCGGGGACGGAAGAACCGGCGGCGACAUUCUCCGGCGAGGCGGGACAGCGGCGACGGGCGGCGUCGGCGGCGGGGGGGCUUCGCCGCGCGGCGGGGCAUGCGAGGCGGNNNNNNNNNNNNNNNNNNNNNNNNNNNNNNNNNNNNNNNNNNNNNNNNNNNNNNNNNNNNNNNNNNNNNNNNNNNNNNNNNNNNNNNNNNNNNNNNNNNNNNNNNNNNNNNNNNNNNNNNNNNNNNNNNNNNNNNNNNNNNNNNNNNNNNNNNNNNNNNNNNNNNNNNNNNNNNNNNNNNNNNNNNNNNNNNNNNNNNNNNNNNNNNNNNNNNNNNNNNNNNNNNNNNNNNNNNNNNNNNNNNNNNNNNNNNNNNNNNNNNNNNNNNNNNNNNNNNNNNNNNNNNNNNNNNNNNNNNNNNNNNNNNNNNNNNNNNNNNNNNNNNNNNNNNNNNNNNNNNNNNNNNNNNNNNNNNNNNNNNNNNNNNNNNAGCGGCAGUGACUUGGGGAGAGGGGGUGCCGGGGCAGCACUUAUAAAGGGGAGGGGGCAAGGCGGGGGCAGCGCAGAGUCCUAGCCGGACUUGGGCGGCGGCAAAGGCGUGCGGCAGCCGGAUUCGGUCGGGGCGGCGCGCUGUUGGGCCGGCUAGGCUUCGGCCCAGUCGGUCCGAAGAUUUUUUUAAAUAAUUUCGCCGAAACGGAAAAAAUCCAAAAUAAAAUAAAUAAAAAUACUAAAAUUCCAAAAAUAAUUUUCGCGGUCCUCUCCUAAUAUUUAGGACAACGCGAACAUUUUUCUGGGUUAAAAUGCAAUUUCCAAAAAUGCAAUUUUUCUCUAUUUAACCGAAUAAAAUCUCAAAUAAAAUCUCAAAUAAAAAUUCAAAAUAAAUAAAUAUUUUUAUUUAAAAUUAAAUUUCCAUUAUUUCCUUUAUUUUGAAGAAGUCAUAUUAUCUUCUCUCAUUUUUUAUUUAUUUCAAAAUAGUUGGAAAAAUAAUUUCAAAUAAAAAAUCACCUUGAUCCAAAUUACCAAUUUUGAAAAUUCAAAAAUGGAAUUUAUGAAAACCUCCAACUCUCUCAAAUGGUCCUUGAGUUGCUUAAGGUCUAUAUGAUCAAAAUGUCCAAAUAAAACCAAAUAAAAAAUGCAAGAAUCUUGGAUGCAUAUGAUGACCUAAUGAUUAACAUCCAAACUGAAAAUUGGGAUGUUACAAACCUACCCCCCUUAAGAUGAAUCUCGCCCUAGAGAUUCGGGUUGGCUAGCAAAUAGGUGUGGGUGGUCUUUCUGUAGGUCUUCUUCUCGCUCACAGGUGGCUUCUUCCUCGGUAUGGUGACUCCACUGAACUUUGCAAAACUUGAUGACCUUGUUGCGUGUAACUCGGCUGGCAAACUCGAGAAUCUUGACGGGUUUCUCCUCGUAGGUUAGGUCACUUUCCAACUGAAUUGCUUCCAGGGGCACUGUAUCUCUUAGAGGAAUAUCGGCCAUCUCUGCAUGGCACUUUUCAACUGGGAAACGUGAAACACAUCAGAACUCCUGACAAUCCUUCGGGUAACUCCAACUUGUAGGCCACUUCUCCCAUACGUUCCAAAACUCGGUGUGGUCCUACAAACCUUGAGGCUAACUUUCCCUUGACUCCAAACCGUUUAACUCCCCGAAGUGGUGACACACGGAGAUAUGCUCUGUCUCCGAUUUCAUAGGCUACCUCCUUGCGUCUGGUGUCAGCAUAACUCUUCAGCCUGGACUGAGCUACCUUCACUCUAUCACGAAUCAACUUAACCUUCUCUUCAGAUUCUCUGAUUAAAUCUGGUCCGAACAACUGACGGUCUCCAACUUCAUCCCACAUCAAUGGUGUCCUGCACCUCCUUCCAUACAGAGCUUCGAAAGGGGCCAUCUUCAAACUAGCCUGGUAGCUGUUGUUGUACGAGAACUCUGCGUAAGGCAAAUUAUCAUCCCAAAUAGAUCCAUAAUCUAGCGCACAAGCUCUUAACAUGUCCUCCAGAAUCUGAUUCACUCUCUCGGUCUGUCCAUCUGUGUGCGGAUGAAAGGCUGUACUGAACUCUAGCCUGGUACCCAAAGUCUGGUGCAACUGAUUCCAAAACUUUGAGGUAAACUGUGUUCCUCUAUCUGAUACGAUGGUCCAUGGAACUCCAUGCAGACAUACGAUCCUGGUCAGAUAUAUCUUGGCCAACUUCGCGCUCGUAUAAGUGGUUUUCACAGGGAUAAAGUGAGCCACUUUGGUCAAGCGAUCAACUACUACCCAGAUGGAAUCGUAACCUGAUCGUGUCCUGGGUAAUCCGGUGAUGAAAUCCAUGCCAAGCCUAUCUCACUUCCAUUUGGGUAUCGGCAUAGGGUGAAGUAAUCCUACUGUCUUCUAGUGUUCUGCCUUAACUCUCUGACAUACAUCACAUACUGCUACAUACUCGGCAAUAUUCUUCUUCAUACCUGUCCACCAGAAACGUUCCUUCAAAUCCAAAUACAUCUUGGUGUUUCCGGGGUGAAUCGAGUCUGGCGAGUCAUGAGCUUCCUGAAGUAUUAACUUCCUGAUCUCUACAUAAUUGGGUACAUAAAUAUGAUCCUCAAACCAUAUAGAUUCAUGCUCAUCCUCACAAAAACCUUUGGCUUUUCCUUUACUCAUCUUAUCCUUUAUCUCCGCAAUCUCCUUAUCAGUCUUCUGGGCUUCUCGAAUCUUUCCCCACAACAUGGACUGAACUUCCAAGGCUGCAACAAAACCUCUCGGAACUAUCUCCAAACGAAGUUCUCUGAGAUCGUCGGCUAACUCCUGAGGUAAACCUCCGGUUACGAGAGCAUUUACAUAACUCUUGCGACUCAACGCGUCUGCUACAACAUUGGCCUUUCCUGGAUGAUAAUGCAGUUUCAUGUCAUAAUCCUUUAUUAGCUCCAACCAUAUCCUUUGCCUGAGAUUCAACUCCUUCUGCGUGAACAUGUACUUCAAACUCUUAUGAUCCGUGUAUACAUCACAACGGUUUCCGAUAAGAAAAUGUCUCCAGGUUUGAGUGCAUGCACUAUGGCUGCUAACUCCAAAUCAUGCAUGGCAUAAUUCAACUCAUGAGGUCGAAGUUGACGUGAGGCAUAUGAAACAACUCUUCUGUCUUGCAUAAGUACACCUCCAAGUCCCAGGCUAGAAGCGUCGCAAUAUACUUGGAAGUCCUUGCGUAUAUCCGAAAGAAUUAGCACUGGGGCUGUAACUAAACAUUUCUUCAACUCCUGAAAACUGGCCUCGUAUUCUUCGAUCCAUUUGAACUUGGUGUCUGUCUUCAAUAAUUCCGUCAUGGGAUUCGCAAUCUUGGAGAAAUUCUCAAUAAAUCUCCUAUAAUAUCCUGUGAGUCCAAGGAAACUACGUAUCUCUCCAACUGAGGUGGGUGCUAACCACUCUGUGACAGACUGAACCUUAGUAGGGUCUACUGCUAUACCUUCUCCAGAUAUAACAUGUCCAAGAAAUCCAACUUCCUUUAACCAAAACUCACAUUUGCUGAACUUGGCAUAUAGCUGAUGUUCCCUGACCUUCUCGAGAACUAAGCGCAAAUGUUCCUUGUGUUCUUCUUCAUUCUUUGAGUACACCAAUAUAUCAUCAAUGAACACCACAACAAACUUAUCCAAGAACUCCAUGAACACCUUAUUCAUCAUACUCAUAAAAUAGGCAGGGGCGUUAGUCAAUCCAAAAGACAUGACCGUGUACUCAUAUAGCCCAUACCUUGUGGUAAAAGUUGUCUUGGGUAUAUCCUGUUCUGGGAUGUUCAGUUGGUGGUAUCCUGAUCAGAGAUCGAUCUUGGAGAAUACUUUAGCUCCCUGCAGCUGGUCAAACAAAUCAUUGAUCAUCGGUAGUGGGUACUUGUUCUUGAUCGUCACUUCAUUCAAUGCACGAUAAUCAACAACCAUUCUCAAAGAUCCAUCCUUCUUCUCAACUAAGAGAACUGGGGCUCCCCACGGUGAUGAACUUGGUCGGAUAUAACCUUUUUCCAAUAACUCCUUCAUCUGCUUCUUAAUUUCCUCCAGAUCAUUUGCGGGCAUCCGAUACGGUCUCUUCGAUAUUGGUCCGGUGCCUGGUAACAGCUCUAUCAAAAAUUCUAUAUCUCGAUCUGGUGGCAUGCCUGGUAAUUCCUCUGGGAACACAUCGGGAUAAUCCUUCACAACUGGCACUUCCUCCUGAACAACUCCCAAGAGUGAAUUUACUUGGUUCCUCCUUGGUGCAUGCCUGGACACAUACUUGAUUGUUUUUCCUUCCGGUGUGGUGAGGAGUAUUGACUUACUAGUGCAAUCGAUGCUUCCUCCAUACUUCGAUAACCAAUCUGCAUAGUAUUAUGUCCAAUCCUUGUGACUCCAAAAUAAUGACGUCUGAGGGGAAAACGUGCUUGCCUAUCACUGGUGCGCGUUGGUCCUAAACAAACGGUUUUUUACCCCUUUCCGCGACGGCAUUUGGAACCGUCGCCAAGUGAGUGUGUGCGAUACGGUGUCCUUCCCACACGACCCAGAAAUCGUCGGGGAUAGGCCCUCCUGGGACCUAGGCUGGGGCCAUGUGCAAUCGGGCGAGGCAUCGAAACCCAAUCAUUUCCGUAGGUAUGUACAUCCCACACGGUGAAUCCCAGAAAUCAUUUUCGUAGGUAUGUACAUCCCACACGGUAAAUCCCAGAAAUCAUUUCCGUAGGUAUGUACAUCCCACACGGUGAAUCCCAGAAAAUCAUUUCCGUUCGUAUGUAUAUCACACACAGUCAAUCCAAUGAAUAUAUUUUCGUUCUUAUGUACAUCCCACACAGUCAAUCCAGGGAAAACGUUUCCGUUCGGAUGUACAUCCCACACGGUUUUAUGUAUACGCUCGUGUGUGAAAGGUGUAACUAUCACACACGCUCUGCCUUGUUUAACUGUUUGCUUUCAUUAACAACAUCACACACGAUUUGAUGUAGAAAACUGUGUGGCAUUGGGCAAUCCAUCGCAAGCGCUUUUACUGCUAGAACCGUUUGCAAAGGUCCAUGACCAUCUAUUCUUUUUUUAUUUUUGCCUGUAAUUUAUUAUUCUAAUUGGAAAUUUUGAAAUACGAAACGUGCAAUUCAAAUUCUCAGCACAAUGGUUCAACAACGAAUCCAUAAAUAAAAUUGCGAGUACAAUAUGUUCAGUAAUUACAGGAUUAGGCAGCAAUUAACACUACAAAAAAAA